CGGGUUGUAAACCUCUGUCAGGAGUUAUGAAUGACGGGGACAUUAAUACUGUCUCCGUGUGACAAAGGCUCCAAAGGAAGCCACGGCUAACUACGUGC
rnacentral:rRNA from 1 species